rnacentral:rRNA from 1 species
GAUGAACGCUGGCGGCGUGCCUAAUACAUGCAGGUCGAGCGAACGGACGAGAAGCUUGCUUCUCUGAUGUUAGCGGCGGACGGGUGAGUAACACGUGGAUAACCUACCUAUAAGACUGGGAUAACUUCGGGAAACCGGAGCUAAUACCGGAUGAUAUUUUGAACCGCAUGGUUCAAAAGUGAAAGACGGUCUUGCUGUCACUUAUAGAUGGAUCCGCGCUGCAUUAGCUAGUUGGUAAGGUAACGGCUUACCAAGGCAACGAUGCAUAGCCGACCUGAGAGGGUGAUCGGCCACACUGGAACUGAGACACGGUCCAGACUCCUACGGGAGGCAGCAGUAGGGAAUCUUCCGCAAUGGGCGAAAGCCUGACGGAGCAACGCCGCGUGAGUGAUGAAGGUCUUCGGAUCGUAAAACUCUGUUAUUAGGGAGGAACAUAUGUGUAAGUAACUGUGCACAUCUUGACGGUACCUAAUCAGAAAGCCACGGCUAACUACGUG